CAGUAGCCGCGGUAAUACAGAGGGUGCAAGCGUUAAUCGGAAUUACUGGGCGUAAAGCGCGCGUAGGUGGUUUGUUAAGUUGGAUGUGAAAUCCCCGGGCUCAACCUGGGAACUGCAUCCAAAACUGGCAAGCUAGAGUAUGGUAGAGGGUGGUGGAAUUUCCUGUGUAGCGGUGAAAUGCGUAGAUAUAGGAAGGAACACCAGUGGCGAAGGCGACCACCUGGACUGAUACUGACACUGAGGUGCGAAAGCGUGGGGAGCAAACAGGAUUAGAUACCCCUGUAGUCCCUGUCUCUUAUAA
rnacentral:rRNA from 1 species